rnacentral:rRNA from 1 species
CCUACGGGGGGCAACAGUGGGGAAUAUUGGACAAUGGGCGAAAGCCUGAUCCAGCCAUGCCGCGUGUGUGAAGAAGGCCUUCGGGUUGUAAAGCACUUUCAGUGGGGAAGAAAGCCUUGGGGCUAAUACCCUCGAGGAAGGACAUCACCCACAGAAGAAGCACCGGCUAACUCCGUGCCAGCAGCCGCGGUAAUACGGAGGGUGCGAGCGUUAAUCGGAAUUACUGGGCGUAAAGCGCGCGUAGGCGGUCUGAUAAGCCGGUUGUGAAAGCCCCGGGCUCAACCUGGGAACGGCAUCCGGAACUGUCAGGCUAGAGUGCAGGAGAGGAAGGUAGAAUUCCCGGUGUAGCGGUGAAAUGCGUAGAGAUCGGGAGGAAUACCAGUGGCGAAGGCGGCCUUCUGGACUGACACUGACGCUGAGGUGCGAAAGCGUGGGUAGCAAACAGGAUUAGAUACCCUUGUAGUC